GACGAACCGUACGAACGUUAUUCGGAAUUACUGGGCUUAAAGGGUGCGUAGGCUGCGCGGAAAGUUGGGUGUGAAAUCCCUCGGCUCAACCGAGGAACUGCGCUCAAAACUACCGUGCUCGAGGGAGACAGAGGUGAGCGGAACUUAGGGUGGAGCGGUGAAAUGCGUUGAUAUCCUAAGGACACCCGUGGCGAAAGCGGCUCACUGGGUCUCUUCUGACGCUGAGGCACGAAAGCUAGGGUAGCCGGAACGGG
rnacentral:rRNA from 1 species